UACAGGUCUGAAUGAUUGUGUUGUUUGAUUUAGCUAAGCUUUGAAUUAUGUCUCGGAGAUAGUGGAAGAAGUGUAGUGAUUUUCGGGAUCUUUUAGAACUAUUAAAGAUCACCCCUUUUGGUAGUCUAAAUCUCCAGUUAUGAGCUUGUUGUGAAAGCAAGACCUCAACUUAUGGCUGUCUAAAGUUUAAUGUUAGAAUCUAUCCAAGUUUGGACAGAUUUGCUUCUUUGUGUUGUAUAGUCUUGUUAACUGUUGAAUCAUCUUGAGAUGAUAACAAUAAACUUAUAGAUACCUUAAUAAGGUUUCUACCAAGUUAAGAAACAUGCUUGGUGGAUGUCUAGAACUCCAUAUAUGCAUCUCUGAAGUUCAUG
rnacentral:lncRNA from 1 species